GACGAACGCUGGCGGCGUGCUUAACACAUGCAAGUCGAACGGAAAGGCCCUGCUUUUGUGGGGUGCUCGAGUGGCGAACGGGUGAGUAACACGUGAGUAACCUGCCCUUGACUUUGGGAUAACUUCAGGAAACUGGGGCUAAUACCGGAUAGGAGCUCCUGCUGCAUGGUGGGGGUUGGAAAGUUUCGGCGGUUGGGGAUGGACUCGCGGCUUAUCAGCUUGUUGGUGGGGUAGUGGCUUACCAAGGCUUUGACGGGUAGCCGGCCUGAGAGGGUGACCGGCCACAUUGGGACUGGGAUACGGCCCAGACUACUACGGGAGGCAGGAGUAGGGAGUAGUGCACAAUGGGCGGAAGCCUGAUGCAGCAACGCCGCGUGCGGGAUGACGGCCUUCGGGUUGUAAACCGCUUUCGCCUGUGACGAAGCGUGAGUGACGGUAAUGAGUAAAGAAGCACCGGCUAACUACGU
rnacentral:rRNA from 1 species